rnacentral:misc_RNA from 1 species
UUUUUUUUUUUUCACUAUCUAUGGGAUCAAUGAACUUUACAAGUACCGUGGACUCUUGAGGCUUUUGGGCUGGUUUACUUUUGGUUUUAAGUUUUCCCUCUGAUGCAUGCUUUGGACAAAGAUCCCAAAUAUCGUUAAUAGGCCUAUUUUUUCUCCUUUAUUUUAAGUUUUAACACUCCAUUCAACUUGAAAUGAGGUAGAGGAACCUCCCCUUCAGUAUCUGAAAUCACUUGACGGGCUUGAUGCUCUAAGCUGGGCUCUGAGACAGGCCCAUGCUAGAAAUGGAGUUUUGGUCCAUACCAAUGGAUGAGUAUAGAUUCCUAAAAUGCUAGUUAGGUCCUGACAUCACCAAGCUGGGAGGUUAUUGACGUAUUUGGUAGCUCCAGCUCACUAAUAUUUAAAGCAUUAAAGUGUUCAGCCAGCGAAGUGUACAAUAUCCUCAGUUCAAACUUUGCACAUGCUCCCUCUUUUGUUGUGCCAAUCAUUCUGGCAUUCACUUCCCUAGUAUCCUCUUCCCGAAUGGGAGACAAAAGCAUUGGAGAGAUUGAAGGAGAUAGUUGGCCUUCCUGUUGCACCGCAGUCUCUUAAAUAUCACCAUGCAUAGAGCAGUCAUCACCAGUCCCAUCGUUGAUACCUUCCAGGUUUGUGGUGCCAAGUGUAUUAUGAACUCGUUCCAUGCCACCGCAUUCCUCCACAUCAUCGUCUUCCCCAGAGGAAGAAGCAGGAGAUGUGUUUCUCUUACGUAGCACUGAAACUGGAGGAUGAAAAAGUUCAAAACAUGGCUCUUCAAGGGCCAAGAUUUUAUGUCGAAGGUUGCCAAUAUCCAUACUUAUGAGCUUAUUGAUUUGUUCUCGAGAGUCUAUAACCAUUAAUCAUCUUGCAAAAUCAAGUCUCGUUUUCUUUUGAGUUAUUCUGUCCACAGAGAUAAAAUUGGCACAGAGGUUUCCAACCCAUUUGAAGAAAUCCCAGUUCCAAACUUUAAGUGGGACACCCUGAAGUCGAAGCCAAAUUAAUCAUUUGGAUGGCGUAAAAGAGGGAUCCCACGGCUUACAAUAAAAAACCUAUCGAUCCAACCAUGUGCUUUACUUGGAUAGAAAACAUUCCAUAAUUUCUAGUGACUCAAAGGUCAAAAGAACCAUGUCACCACUGAGGGGGAAUAUUGAUAUGGAUAAGACCCCUUCUACCAGAAAAUGUUCCUCCAAAUUAGGAAAAAAGUGA